rnacentral:rRNA from 1 species
UACGGAGGGUGCGAGCGUUGUCCGGAUUUACUGGGCGUAAAGAGCGUGUAGGCGGCCAGGUAGGUCGGUUGUGAAAACUGGAGGCUCAACCUUCAGACGUCGACCGAAACCAUCUGGCUAGAGUCCGGGAGAGGAGAGUGGAAUUCCUGGUGUAGCGGUGAAAUGCGCAGAUAUCAGGAAGAACAUCGGUGGCGAAGGCGGCCUGCUGGGCUCUUGCUGACACUGAUGCGCGACAGCGUGGGGAGCAAACAGG